GACGAACGCUGGCGGCGUGCCUAACACAUGCAAGUCGAACGGGGAGUUAGUAAUAACUCCUAGUGGCGAACGGGUGAGUAACGCGUAGACAACCUGCCUCUAAACUGGGGACAACACCGCGAAAGUGGUGCUAAUACCGAAUGUGGUAUCUUGAUUGCAUGAUUGAGAUAAGAAAGAUGGCCUCUACAUGUAAGCUAUCGAUUAGAGAUGGGUCUGCGUCUGAUUAGCUAGUUGGUGAGGUAACGGCUCACCAAGGCAACGAUCAGUAGCCGGUCUGAGAGGAUGAACGGCCACACUGGGACUGAGACACGGCCCAGACUCCUACGGGAGGCAGCAGUGGGGAAUCUUCCGCAAUGGACGAAAGUCUGACGGAGCAACGCCGCGUGAGUGAAGAAGGUCUUCGGAUUGUAAAGCUCUGUCGUUUGGGACGAACGUAUCCUGUGUGAAUAAUGCGGGAUAAUGACGGUACCAAAGGAGGAAGCCACGGCUAACUACGUGCCAGCAGCAGCCGCCG
rnacentral:rRNA from 1 species